rnacentral:rRNA from 1 species
UGCAGUCGAACGAUGAACCGCUUUCGGGCGGGGAUUAGUGGCGAACGGGUGAGUAACACGUGGGCAAUCUGCCCUGCACUCUGGGACAAGCCCUGGAAACGGGGUCUAAUACCGGAUAUGACCGUCUGCCGCAUGGUGGAUGGUGUAAAGCUCCGGCGGUGCAGGAUGAGCCCGCGGCCUAUCAGCUUGUUGGUGAGGUAGUGGCUCACCAAGGCGACGACGGGUAGCCGGCCUGAGAGGGCGACCGGCCACACUGGGACUGAGACACGGCCCAGACUCCUACGGGAGGCAGCAGUGGGGAAUAUUGCACAAUGGGCGAAAGCCUGAUGCAGCGACGCCGCGUGAGGGAUGACGGCCUUCGGGUUGUAAACCUCUUUCAGCAGGGAAGAAGCGAAAGUGACGGUACCUGCAGAAGAAGCGCCGGCUAACUACGUGCCAGCAGCCGCGGUAAUACGUAGGGCGCAAGCGUUGUCCGGAAUUAUUGGGCGUAAAGAGCUCGUAGGCGGCUUGUCACGUCGGUUGUGAAAGCCCGGGGCUUAACCCCGGGUCUGCAGUCGAUACGGGCAGGCUAGAGUUCGGUAGGGGAGAUCGGAAUUCCUGGUGUAGCGGUGAAAUGCGCAGAUAUCAGGAGGAACACCGGUGGCGAAGGCGGAUCUCUGGGCCGAUACUGACGCUGAGGAGCGAAAGCGUGGGGAGCGAACAGGAUUAGAUACCCUGGUAGUCCACGCCGUAAACGGUGGGCACUAGGUGUGGGCAA